rnacentral:rRNA from 1 species
UGGGCCCGUGCCCGCCAGAGCGCCCUUGAACCCUCAUGAAGAUGGACUGUCUGAGCAUGAUUGAUAAUAAUCAAAACUUUCAACAAUGGAUCUCUUGGUUCCGGCAUCGAUGAAGAACGCAGCGAAAUGCGAUAAGUAAUGUGAAUUGCAGAAUUCCGUG